CUUCCGUAGGGUGACCUGCGGAGGGAUCAUUACCGAGUUUACAACUCCCAAACCCAAUGUGAACCAUACCAAACUGUUGCCUCGGCGGGGUCACGCCCCGGGUGCGUCGCAGCCCCGGAACCAGGCGCCCGCCGGAGGGACCAACCAAACUCUUUUCUGUAGUCCCCUCGCGGACGUUAUUUCUUACAGCUCUGAGCAAAAAUUCAAAAUGAAUCAAAACUUUCAACAACGGAUCUCUUGGUUCUGGCAUCGAUGAAGAACGCAGCGAAAUGCGAUAAGUAAUGUGAAUUGCAGAAUUCAGUGAAUCAUCGAAUCUUUGAACGCACAUUGCGCCCGCCAGUAUUCUGGCGGGCAUGCCUGUCCGAGCGUCAUUUCAACCCUCGAACCCCUCCGGGGGGUCGGCGUUGGGGACCUCGGGAGCCCCUAAGACGGGAUCCCGGCCCCGAAAUACAGUGGCGGUCUCGCCGCAGCCUCUCCUGCGCAGUAGUUUGCACAACUCGCACCGGGAGCGCGGCGCGUCCACGUCCGUAAAACACCCAACUUCUGAAAUGUUGACCUCGGAUCAGGUAGGAAUACCCGCUGAACUUAAGCAUAUCAAUAAGCCGGAGGAAAAAGCUU
rnacentral:sRNA from 1 species